rnacentral:rRNA from 1 species
GUCGAGCGGUAACAGACAUAAAGAUUCAGCUUGCUGANUCCGGUGCUGACGAGCGGCGAACGGGUGAGUAACGCGUAGGAAUCUACCCAGUAGCGGGGGAUAGCCCGAGGAAACUCGGAUUAAUACCGCAUACGCCCUGAGGGGGAAAGGGGGCAGUUUACUGCUCUCACUAUUGGAUGAGCCUGCGUAAGAUUAGCUUGUUGGUGGGGUAAUGGCCUACCAAGGCAACGAUCUUUAGCUGGUCUGAGAGGACGAUCAGCCACAUUGGGACUGAGACACGGCCCAGACAUCUACGGAUGGCAGCAGUUAAGAAUAUUGGACAAUGGGGGCAACCCUGAUCCAGGUAUACCGCGUGUGUGAAGAAGGCCCUAGGGUUGUAAAGCACUUUAAUCAGAGAAGAAGCAUUUUAAGUUAAUACCUUAAUAUGUUGACGUUACCUGAAGAAUAAGGACCGGCUAACUCCGUGCCAGCAGCCGCGGUAAUACGGAGGGUCCAAGCGUUAAUCGGAAUUACUGGGCGUAAAGCGCGCGUAGGCGGUUUAGUAAGUUGUAUGUGAAAGCCCUGGGCUCAACCUAGGAACUGCAUUCAAAACUACUAAGCUAGAGUACGAGAGAGGAGAGUAGAAUUUCUGGUGUAGCGGUGAAAUGCGUAGAUAUCAGAAGGAAUACCAAUGGCGAAGGCAGCUCUCUGGCUCGUCACUGACGCUGAGGUGCGAAAGCGUGGGUAGCAAACAGGAUUAGAUACCCUGGUAGUCCACGCCGUNNCGAUGAGAACUAGCCGUUGGGCAGAUUUAACUGUUCAGUGNACAGCUAACGC